rnacentral:rRNA from 1 species
CUACGGGAUGCUCCAGUGGGGAAUAUUGCACAAUGGAGGAAACUCUGAUGCAGCAACGCCGCGUGGAGGAUGACACUUUUCGGAGCGUAAACUCCUUUUAUAUAGGAAGAUAAUGACGGUACUAUAUGAAUAAGCACCGGCUAACUCCGUGCCAGCAGCCGCGGUAAUACGGAGGGUGCAAGCGUUACUCGGAAUCACUGGGCGUAAAGAGCGUGUAGGCGGGUUAAUAAGUCAGAAGUGAAAUCCUAUGGCUCAACCAUAGAACUGCUUUUGAAACUGUUAACCUAGAGUGUGGGAGAGGUAGAUGGAAUUUCUGGUGUAGGGGUAAAAUCCGUAGAGAUCAGAAGGAAUACCGAUUGCGAAGGCGAUCUACUGGAGCAUAACUGACGCUGAGACGCGAAAGCGUGGGGAGCAAACAGGAUUAGAUACCCUCGUAGUC